GACGAACGCUGGCGGCGUGCUUAACACAUGCAAGUCGAACGGAAAGGCCCUGCUUUUGUGGGUUGCUCGAUUGGCGCACGGGUGAGUAACACGUGAGUAACCUGUCCUUGUCUUUGGGAUAACUUCAGGAAACUGGGGCUCAUACCGGAUAGGAGCUCCUGCUGCGCGGUGGGGGUUGGUAAGUUUCGGCGGUUGGGGAUGGUCUCGCGGCUUAUCAGCUUGUUGGGGGGGUAGUGGCUUACCAAGGUUUUGACGGGUAGCCGGCCUGAGAGGGUGACCGGCCACAUUGGGACUGAGAUACGGCCCAGACUCCUACGGGAGGCAGCAGUGGGGAAUAUUGCACAAUGGGCGGAAGCCUGAUGCAGCAACGCCGCGUGCGGGAUGACGGCCUUCGGGUUGUAAACCGCUUUCGCCUGUGACGAAGCGUGAGUGACGGUAAUGGGUAAAGAAGCACCGGCUAACUACGUG
rnacentral:rRNA from 1 species